UUUAUGGAGAGUUUGAUCCUGGCUCAGGAUAAACGCUGGCGGCGUGCCUAAUACAUGCAAGUCGAGCGAACGGACGAGAAGCUUGCUUCUCUGAUGUUAGCGGCGGACGGGUGAGUAACACGUGGAUAACCUACCUAUAAGACUGGGAUAACUUCGGGAAACCGGAGCUAAUACCGGAUAAUAUUUUGAACCGCAUGGUUC
rnacentral:rRNA from 1 species